GUAUUUUGUGAAUUUAAUAAUGUACUCCCACUGAUUGGUAUCUGUUCCAUAUUUGUCCUUGACAAGUUUGUCCUGAAACUUGUCCUUAAGGGCAAGCUUGUAUCUUUUUCUUGGCUUGAGUCUCUAUCAUCCUCUUCCCACUUCCUACAACCCCCUACCGUCCUCCAAAGCAGAACAAGCUUGCACAACUUGUGGCCUGCCGGCCCCAUGAGGCCCAGGGCAGCUUUGAAUGUGGCCCAACACCAAUUCCUAAACUUUCUUAAAACAUUAUGAGAUUUUUUAAAAUUUAUUUUUAUUUUUUAGCUUAUCAGCUAUCAGUAGUGUUAGUGUAUUUUAUGUGUGGCCCAAGACAAUUCUUCCACGUGGCCCAGGGAAGCCAAAAGAUUGGACAUCCCCUGAUCUAGAACAAAGGCUAAUGAGCAAGAAGUUUACUUGGUAGUGAUCCCAUUGUGCUAAAGUGAGGGAUCAGGGGAAUUGAACAGGAAAUGGCGGUGGUGGUGGGUGGGGUAUACUGUGAUGUAUUAUUGAGCUGUUAAAUUGGAUGACUGAUACUCAAUGUUUAUGGAAUCUUCUUUUAAAUGUGUCUCAGAACUGUUUGCUUGGGGAACAAAAGGAAGAAACAUGUAUCUAUUGACAUCUGUCUGCUAUUGCUUAAGUCUGUCCAGGCAAGCAUUAACUCCAAGGAGUGAGACCAAAAGGAUUUGCGCCUCUCAUUUGUGGUACUUAAGAGAUGUCCAAUAAAAUUUUGUGUACUUAUUAGGACCAAGCUCAAAUCUAUGUGCAUUCAGACUACUUUACUGACUUGAAAGUUAUAGCUCUGAAAAUAGAAAAAGCACAAGUAGCACAUUAUUAUUUCUAUUUUUCC
rnacentral:lncRNA from 10 species